rnacentral:rRNA from 1 species
GAUGAACGCUGGCGGCGUGCCUAAUACAUGCAAGUCGAGCGAACAGAUGAGGAGCUUGCUCCUCUGACGUUAGCGGCGGACGGGUGAGUAACACGUGGAUAACCUACCUAUAAGACUGGGAUAACUUCGGGAAACCGGAGCUAAUACCGGAUAAUAUAUUGAACCGCAUGGUUCAAUAGUGAAAGACGGUUUUGCUGUCACUUAUAGAUGGAUCCGCGCCGCAUUAGCUAGUUGGUCAGGUAACGGCUUACCAAGGCAACGAUGCGUAGCCGACCUGAGAGAGGGAUCGGCCACACUGGAACUGAGACACGGUCCAGACUCCUACGGGAGGCAGCAGUAGGGAAUCUUCCGCGAUGGGCGAAAGCCUGACGGAGCAACGCCGCAUGAGUGAUGAAGGUUUUCGGAUCGUAAAACUCUGUUAUUAGGGAAGAACAAAUGUGUAAGUAACUAUGCACGUAUUGACGGUACCUAAUCAGAAAGCCACGGCUAACUACGUG